UUGACCUCAAAUCAGGUAGGAUUACCCGCUGAACUUAAGCAUAUCAAUAAGCGGAGGAAAAGAAACUAACAAGGAUUCCCCUAGUAACUGCGAGUGAAGAGGGAAAAGCUCAAAUUUAAAAUCUGGCAGCUUGCUGUCCGAGUGU
rnacentral:rRNA from 1 species